AAAAUUAAAAUUAAAAUUAAAAAUUGAAUUUAAAAUAAAAUUAAAAUUUUAAAAUUUUAGUUUCUAAAAUUAGAUAUUUGUAUUAGCGGCAUUAUAUUUAGAGUAGAGCUACUAUGCUAUCGGAAGCAUAAAGUGGUUGGUGCUUUCAAUUUUUUAGCCCUUAGACCAACUCCAUUGAUCAUUUCUAACCAUUGGAUUAAUUUUAUUAACCAAUGGAGACCAGUCAACCCUAGGGGGACCACUUAACCAUAAGGGGACCACUAUCAUCCCAACCGUAGAAUCUUUGAUCCAAGGGCUAAAAAAUCGGAAGCACCAACUACUUUAUGCUUCCAAUACCAUAGUAGCUCUACACUUAUAUUUAUGUGCCACUAAUAAACAAUCUAAAAUUAGCAUUAAUCCUUUUUAGCUGCAUGUUCCUAAUGACACUAAUUGAUUUACAUUGGUGGCAUUUAUAAUAAAUGCUACUAAUACUUUUAGCAACAUUGGCAUAGGCAGCAUUUGGUGUCAUGUAACAUACCAGAUUUUGGUAUAAAAAUAAAAAUAAAUAAAAAUAGUGUGAGAAACUAUUUUUAUUGAAUUUAUAGGAGUAAAACAUAAGUCAGAAAUGACUUGUACUGAAAUCGGACUGGAAACAGAAGAUUUAGAAUUUUCUAUUGAAAACGGGACAGAUAAAUUAGCAGAAAAUGCACAGUCUCAGAAAAUUAUGAAAAUUGGAGGAUAAGUCAGAAAUAUUUUUAUGUGUUGAUUAGCAUGUUGAAUCCAUUUAAUUUGAGUUAAUUGGAGCAUGUGUAGAGG
rnacentral:lncRNA from 1 species